CAGUCGCCGCGGGAAUACGUAGGUCCCGAGCGUUGUCCGGAUUUAUUGGGCGUAAAGCGAGCGCAGGCGGUUAGAUAAGUCUGAAGUUAAAGGCUGUGGCUUAACCAUAGUACGCUUUGGAAACUGUUUAACUUGAGUGCAAGAGGGGAGAGUGGAAUUCCGUGUGUAGCGGUGAAAUGCGUAGAUAUAUGGAGGAACGCCGGUGGCGAAAGCGGCUCUCUGGCUUGUAACUGACGCUGAGGCUCGAAAGCGUGGGGAGCAAACAGGAUUAGAUACCCCUGUAGUCCCUGUCUCUUAUACA
rnacentral:rRNA from 1 species